CCUACUUCUUGUAGCUUAGGAGAGAGCGUUGGAGCUCAGGGAGGAGGCUUUGCAGCUGGAGCAUUAUGUGUAUGUGUGAAUAUAAUAAUGAAUAUAGGCACACAACUUCAUGAGAGUCAUCCUUUGAGAGCCACCCAUCACAUGACAGACUGAACUGGAGCAGGAGUGCACUGAAAGCAGAGCAGCAAAUAAGAGGGCCAGCCCUGACCUCAAGAACAGAAUUUUCAAAAAUAGCCAUCAGGAUUGCUUUUCAGAAGACUCAUCCAGUCCACAACUAUCACCAAAGACUGGCUGAAAGUAGAACAAAAAACCUGGGUUAUGUUGCAGGCUGUUAAUGCUAACAGCAUGUGGUAGUGAGGAAAUGGAUUGCAUAUUUGGUGAGGAAAGACAAAGCCUACAAAUUUCCAAUGUGAACCCUCUGAAAUAUUUUGAGCUGUUUUCAGAUUCCAUCUUGCCACCUUCCAUUGUUCAUGCCUAGAGCCAGUUCUUUUGCGCAUGAGCACCAGUCCUGAAAGUUGUCUUGAAGAUGCCAUAUGCACUCUAAUGAAGAACAGUUACAGAGAACUCCUGUACAACUGCCUGCUUCAGAAUUUGUACAGAAUCUACAAACUCAAAACAGGGAUACGGACUGAGUGGAUGCCAAUGUCUUUAACUUCAUUUAUCUAUAUUUGGCAAAAAUUGCACUGCAGCUGGAGAUGAAAUACUGAGCUAAAUAAAUGCAGUGAUGUGAGCUCCAAACAGCAAUUACUAAA